CGUAACAAGGUUUCCGUAGGUGAACCUGCGGAAGGAUCAUUGUCGAGCCCGCACGAGCCGGACGACCCGCGAACGCGUCACAAUCACGCGAGGGGGCAAGGGAGCGGCGGCCCCCGUCGGCCCCCGGCCCCCUCGACCGUCAGGAGGCACCUCCAACCCCGCCGGCGCCUCCACCCGGGGGCGACCGCGGGAUCGGGGGGCGCACGCCCUGAUCAAACAACGAACCCCGGCGCGAGAAGCGCCAAGGAACUCUAACGGGACGGGCCCUCGUCGCAGCCUCGCAUCGGGGCGCGCAAGGCGAGGGCCGUCGUUUUGGAAACGAAGUAAAACGACUCUCGGCAACGGAUAUCUAGGCUCUCGCAUCGAUGAAGAACGUAGCAAAAUGCGAUACUUGGUGUGAAUUGCAGAAUCCCGUGAAUCAUCGAGUCUUUGAACGCAAGUUGCGCCUGAAGCCAUUAGGCCGAGGGCACGUCUGCCUGGGCGUCACGCACCCGUCGCCCCCAAGCCCCCCCGUCCCCCACGCGGGGCGGGCGGGGGCGGACGUUGGCCUCCCGCGGGCGAGGAUGCCCCCGGUUGGCCCAAAAUCGUCCCCGCGGCGGCAUGCGCCACGACGAGCGGUGGUCGUCCACACACUCGAACCGCUCCCGUCGGGAGCGGCUUGGCGUCGCGCGCGCGGCCUCGCCGUCGGGGUCCCGGAGAGAUGACGCAGACCCUCGAUCGCGACCCCAGGUCAGGCGGGAACACCCGCUGAGUUUAAGCAUAUCAAUAA
rnacentral:rRNA from 1 species